AUUGCUUCUCGGCCUUUUGGCUAAGAUCAAGUGUAGUAUCUGUUCUUAACAGUUUAAUAUCAGAUACGUCCUCUAUUCGAGGACAAAAUAUCAAAUGGAUUUUUGCUCUGUCCACUCCAUGCAUCGACCUGGUAUUGUAGUAUCUCUAGGACCGGUGCACCCCCU
rnacentral:snRNA from 1 species